AAGUCGUAACAAGGUUUCCGUAGGUGAACCUGCGGAAGGAUCAUUAAACACGUGUUUACACACGUUACCAACCAACCUGUGCGAGGAACCUUGCCAACACCAAAAAAACAACAUAAAGCCUUCGCGGGCCUUGUGUUGUUUUCAUCGUGUUCACUUUGCUAAGCCUUCGCGGGCUUUUCAGAGCGUUGGCUUGUGUUCCGUUACUUUUUCUUCUGCACACGAUGUUUCUUUUACAAACCUAAAAACCCAAAUCAUUUUUAAAUGACUUAACAUUUUCUUUCGAAAAGGACUUCUCUACUAGCCUUCGGGCGAACGGAAGUGUCUGAAUAGAUAUGAAACCCUGUACAACUCUUAGCAACGGAUAUCUUGGUUCUC
rnacentral:misc_RNA from 1 species